AAUAACCAACAAAACCUCAAACGUCAAACAUACAACCAAGCAACCAAGCAGCAUGAGAAGAAUAUUAGUAAAGAGUAUUUGAUAUUUAACACUAGUACACAAUAUAAUCACAUCGUUAAAAUAAAAUUCAAGAUGAAUUAUAAAUUGAAAUGAAAAUAAACCAAGGAUGUGAAACGUAAAGUAAAAGAUGCCAGACAAUAGCAGAUAGCAAAUGCCAGUCAUGAGAGAAAAGAAGUAAAACAUAGAAUGGUACUAAUUAUUGUCAGAAGUAAAAGGUAAAAUAUAGAGUAUGACCAGAAACAGCGGGUUCUAAUGCAAAGUAGGCACACGCAUCACUUCAAAAUGAAAAAACAAGAAACAAAAUCACCACAAUAGAAAGGGUACGCCAUAUAUGCGCAGUAUAAUAAAUAAAUGCAUGUGUGACAGGGAGUUCCUCAUAAUCAUCUGUUAAAACUAUCGCGGUGACUGAAAGAAAAUUACCAAUAAUAAGCAGUAAACUGAGAGCUUGCAUGAAGCGCUCAAACCAGCGAAGUUGAGAAUCCCUCCUGAGAGGCCAAGAUAACCAAGAUAAUGUAGAUGAAGGUCCAUUAGGAUUAUUUAAACUAGUAGACUGUGUCACGUGUCACCAGGCAACCCUACAAUGAACAGACGUACUUGGUAGAUGAUCAACAUAAGAUUGAGCAGGCCAAUUGAUGACGUUAUCACCAACGUCAAAUAUAAUACAUAAUACAUUCCUAUCACAUCAGUUUAUGGGAAAAGUACCAUAUUUUCAGAGAAGAUCACUGAGAAUAAAGAAGAAGAAGAAAAUAAAUAUAUGGAACAUUCUACACAGCCACGACCUCGAACGCGAUUAACAAGCAAAGAUGGUGGAGAAACAAAAUGAUCAGAUGGAGGCAAUGAACAAUAAAUAGGGGACUUAUAGCAGUCGGCAGGCCAAGAAACAAUAAAAUAAAGCAACGACAGGUGUGACACAAAUUAAAAUAAUCAAGUAAGAGUAGACAGCAAUUACAAGAAUGGAAAUGUAAAGAGAAGAAUGAAGGAAGAACAAGGAUAAAAGAAGAAAACAAGAAAGAAAAGAAAGAUCAGUAUCGAAUGACAAUGAAAUCAAGGAACCGUAUACCCUCACGACCACUAUGAUUCCUGAAAGGAACAGAAGAACAAACAGAGCAUUGUAGCAGCCCAGAAGAAAAUUAGUCAGAAAACGACUCAAAUCAGAUCAAAUCAAUGUAUAAUUUAAUCAAUCAAAUCAAAUGAAUGAAUGAAUAGUAAAUAAAUAAAUGAAUGAAUGAAUGCUGAAUACGAGUGAAACAGUUAAAGAUAUUAAAAUUGAGAAAAUAGAGAAAAUGUACAAAAUGUAAAGUGUGUACCGCGUAACAGCAUGACCCACAUAAUGUAAUAUAAUAUAGAAGUAAAACAAAUGAAUAAAUGACUUGCAACAAGUGAGUUAUAUUCCAACCAAUAUAACUAUAGAUUAUUGUCUCAG